rnacentral:misc_RNA from 1 species
GAUAAGUCAAAUAGUUGUUAGAGUAGCGGGAACAGUUAGGCAAGAGGAAGUCGUAUAAAUAUUUGCUAAGGGCUGUAACUAAGACUUCAAUAUUUUAGUCAAUUCUCCUCUCUAAUUCUCUUUAUUCUCUUCUCUAUAAGUUUUAUUUUCUCUCUAUCUUCCUUCUCCUAUUUCCUUCCCCUUUCUUUCUCUAUUUCUCUCU